rnacentral:rRNA from 1 species
AUACCAGACUCCUACGGGAGGCAGCAGUGGGGAAUAUUGCACAAUGGGGGAAACCCUGAUGCAGCGACGCCGCGUGAGCGAUGAAGUCUUUCGGUAUGUAAAGCUCUAUCAGCAGGGAAGAAAAUGACGGUACCUGACUAAGAAGCCCCGGCUAACUACGUGCCAGCAGCCGCGGGAAUACGUAGGGGGCAAGCGUUAUCCGGAUUUACUGGGUGUAAAGGGAGCGUAGACGGCUGUGCAAGCCAGAUGUGAAAGCCCGGGGCUCAACCCCGGGACUGCAUUUGGAACUGUGUGGCUGGAGUGUCGGAGAGGCAGGCGGAAUUCCUAGUGUAGCGGUGAAAUGCGUAGAUAUUAGGAGGAACACCAGUGGCGAAGGCGGCCUGCUGGACGAUGACUGACGUUGAGGCUCGAAAGCGUGGGGAGCAAACAGGAUUAGAUACCCCGGUACU